GAGGGUAUAGCUCAGUGGUAGAGUGUUAGCUUUGCAUGCGUGAGGUCCUGGGUUCAAUUCCCCAGUACCUCCA
rnacentral:tRNA from 1 species